AGGCCCCACUCCACAACCACAGAAUCAGAGAUCUGAGGACGGGCCCCAGCAAUCUGUGUUUUAACCUGCCCUCCAGCCCCAUGCACCGACCUCCAGGAAGGGGAAAAGGAAGGAGCUGCAGAUAAGUCCUAUAAAAACUCUUGAGGAAUGAGAUUUGAUGAGUUCUGGCUUGGUGAAGGCAUCCAUAUGCUGGAAGGGGGUGCACCCCAGUCCACGGGGACAGAAGUUCCUACUCUUGGAACCCUCCUGGACCUCGUCCUAAAGACCUCUUCAUUUGGUUGUUCGUCUAUAUCCUUUACAAUAAACUGGCAAAUUAUCUGUCUUUUGCUGAAAUUGGAAAAAGUCUGCUGGGCUAUCAUUUUAGAACACAGAACAUUUCCAUUCCUUAGAAAAAAAUGUUUCUAAAGAAGUGUCUCGACUGGAGGCAGAGUGGAGACUCAGGGAUGGUUCUGAGCCUUACCUCCAGCUUCUCAACAAAUCUUGUUGGCUGCUAUGUAGUGUAAACCCUGACGGUUGAUUUUUUCCUUUUUUUUUGGAAUACAAGUGGCUGACAAGCUUUGAUUGCUGAGACAUCCACUUCAAAGAGGCAUCCACUUCAAAGACGGCUAUCUCAAAUAGACAUGCUGCCAGCCACACACUAGAUAAAGAGCAGGGGGUUCUUCGCCUGCUGAGGCCCCCUUGUUUUAGAGAACUCGGUUGAUUUCAAUAACUAACCAUUUCGGCCAAGUGUUUUCUUUUCUUCCCAGGCUUUAAAUUCCCCUUCUUAUAUUUUAAAUUCACCAAUAAAGAGUGAGCCCAUUGAAACCCUACGCCCCCACCCUCUCAAUCCCAGUAAAAGCAGGGCUGCACUCUCUCUUUCCACCUGUGACCUUGCUGUGCAGCCCCAGGUGUGCUAUGUAUUUCCAGGUCCUGUAAUAAACCUUUAUUUUUUCAAAGUUUCCUGAUGGUUAUUGCUGAAGGGCAUCUUGCAAUCAUAAUAGG
rnacentral:lncRNA from 1 species